rnacentral:rRNA from 1 species
AGAGUUUGAUCCUGGCUCAGAGCGAACGCUGGCGGCAGGCCUAACACAUGCAAGUCGAACGGAUCCUUCGGGAUUAGUGGCGGACGGGUGAGUAACACGUGGGAACGUGCCUUUUGGUUCGGAACAACUCAGGGAAACUUGAGCUAAUACCGGAUAAGCCUUUCGAGGGAAAGAUUUAUCGCCAUUAGAGCGGCCCGCGUAGGAUUAGCUAGUUGGUGGGGUAAAGGCCCACCAAGGCUACGAUCCUUAGCUGGUCUGAGAGGAUGAUCAGCCACAUUGGGACUGAGACACGGCCCAAACUCCUACGGGAGGCAGCAGUGGGGAAUCUUGCGCAAUGGGCGAAAGCCUGACGCAGCCAUGCCGCGUGAAUGAUGAAGGUCUUAGGAUUGUAAAAUUCUUUCACCGGGGACGAUAAUGACGGUACCCGGAGAAGAAGCCCCGGCUAACUUCGUGCCAGCAGCCGCGGUAAUACGAAGGGGGCUAGCGUUGCUCGGAAUUACUGGGCGUAAAGGGAGCGUAGGCGGAUAGUUUAGUCAGAGGUGAAAGCCCAGGGCUCAACCUUGGAAUUGCCUUUGAUACUGGCUAUCUUGAGUACGGAAGAGGUAUGUGGAACUCCGAGUGUAGAGGUGAAAUUCGUAGAUAUUCGGAAGAACACCAGUGGCGAAGGCGACAUACUGGUCCGUUACUGACGCUGAGGCUCGAAAGCGUGGGGAGCAAACAGGAUUAGAUACCCUGGUAGUCCACGCUGUAAACGAUGAGUGCUAGUUGUCGGCAGGCAUGCCUGUCGGUGACGCAGCUAACGCAUUAAGCACUCCGCCUGGGGAGUACGGUCGCAAGAUUAAAACUCAAAGGAAUUGACGG